CUGGCAGCUUUGUCAGGCUCUUUGCAUCUUUAGCUUUGCUCCUAAAGCCUGGUAUGUUCUGGGUUAUCUGGGGUAUCAGCUGCACUUUGCCAGUGAAAGCAUGUUCUAGAUUCUUUGGAGGACUUUAUUUGCAAAGACCCUGAGAUCCAUCAUCAAAUGGCUGUAAGGAAAAUGCCUUUCAUCAUUCAGGUUAAAGAACAUCACAAAGCCUUGGAGACAACACUUCACUCAGGAAUUAAAUUGCAGGAGUCAUCUGGUGUCAAAUAAGUUUCAUUUAAUAGGUUACUCAAAUAAAGUUUCUGUAGAAAUCAAUAUCACUUUCUCCUGCAAUUGACAGCUCAAGACACUCAAAAUGGCAUUUUUCACAUAAGGUUUAUUUAAUUUUAGGAGGAAGAAUCCCUCCUAUACUUUUUACUUGGCCUACGCAACUCUGCAAGGUUGUCAGCCUGCAGAGUUGGAAACCUGCCCUGCACUUACCCAGGGGGACAGUGUGAGGUCACUAACAGGGAUUUGCCAGUCUCAGGUGCAGCAAGGAUGCCAUUGUCAAAGGGCUGUAUCUGAAGUGUCUUUACAGCUCACUGAAGGAAACAGGGACAAGUAAUUUUGUUUCUUCUUGCAGGUGAGCUUGACAGGACAAAACGCCUCAUUAUAUAUAUCUUAGUAGAACUGGACUUUCUGUAGAGAUAGAGGUCUGUCGGCUGUGAAGACUGGGGGCUUCAACAGCAGUGCUUCUGGGUCCAGGAAAGUCUCUCACAAGACUUUGAUCUAGGAUGGCACUUCAUUCCUGCAGACCUGUGACAAGUCAUGGCAGUGUCCCCUGAGUCGAGCUCACAGCAUGCUCAGGGGCUGCCUCCUCUGCAGUGUCCUGUGUUACCUCCUCAGUGGCCCAAGUGCAGGACAUACCUAUGAGUCAGCAGUAAAGCACACACCAAGUGUUCCCAUGCCCCAGUUUCCCAGGAAUGGAUGUGAAUGCAGCUGUUGGGAGAGUCGGUGCCCAUCUGCCUGGGUCGAAUGCUGCACUGGGAGCAACACUGCUGUUGCCUGUGGGGCAGAGCCAGGAUGUGAGUGAACACUUCAGAAUCAGGCUGGGGUGUGCAAGUUCAAGCACAGCUGAUGGUGCCAGGAAGUUCUGUGCUAAUGAAUGGCUACAAAGUUCUCUGCAAGCCCUUCAGAUGAAACACCCACAGGAGCACAGCGGAGGGUGCAGUCACCUCUCAAAGGACGCUGUGUGCUGCCAGCCAGGACCCGAAGGCUUUGCUGUGCUGGAUUCAGAUCAGAUACAGAGCUAUGGGUAUUUCUCCUGGGGAUGGGGCAAGGUUUUGCCUUCAGUCCUGGAAGUUGUGGGUCUAGCACUCAAUGGAGCCACACCAACGUCCCGGUCCCUGUCUCCGGGACGCAGAUGCAUUUACUUGGCACAAACCCUUCACAGCAUCAGUACAGGAGGAGAAGCCUCUGAUCUGACUCAACUCAGCCUCCAAGUCCCUGUCUGCAGUACACAUCUGCUGCUGAAUCUGGCACUGGAGCUGCUCAGUGUCCCUUGGCCUCCCUCCAUCCACGCAGCCGACAGCGCCCUGCUCCUCAGGCAGGACUCGCUUGCAAUCCCCUCUCACUCUGGAGCCCAGAAGUGAAGCAGAAGGUAGGAAAGCCAGGCUGGGGUCUGUCUCACUUUGGACCUUUUGCUCUGCCUGGAGGUGGUGGAAUCCAUGCCCAGCUCGGUCUGAGGCAAGAGCAGAUGCCUUUGUGACAGCCUCAGCAGGUGUCCUGAGCAAGCUGGGAGCAGUUUCUGUGUGGCAGCCCUAUCAGGGCUGUGGCAGUUUUGUUCCUGUCCCGAUGGGUUGCUCUGGUGAGAUGCCACAGCAUGGUGGGACAUGCUGGUUGCCAAGGACAGGGAUGUGCUGUGACAGAGAUGUCUCCUCAACUCCCCCAAAUUUGAAAGUGGUGCUUUAUUAACUAAGGAGAGCAAUAAAGUGCACAGAGUCGUUGUUCUGAGCA
ensembl:lncRNA